rnacentral:misc_RNA from 1 species
GGAAUUCAAUGAAAAUAUGAACUCAUGUUCUGAUUUAAGACAUAAAUAUGAAGAGAAUAAAUGAGUUGACUCAGAAAUAAGCAUCGACAUGUACAAUAGAAAGUGGACUAGUGGAGGGACAAACUUACAACAAUUUUUUAGUCCAAAAGUUGUUAAACAAAAAUGAAUGAGGAUUAGCAAAGGUCACUUAAAUUCUAGGUCUUUUUAAGUUAACGAAAAAACAAAAAAGGAUUCAUUUGAAAUUUAGAGCUAAUACCA